ensembl:lncRNA
UUGGAAGAUGCAUCUUAUCAGAUAAAAGCCACCAACAACAGUGACUCCUAGGAGAAACCAUCAUUCUUCCUCUGCUAAAGUGGGAACCCAAGGCCCAGUCCCAGCCUGGGGUUAGCCAUACGUGACACCAGGCAUAGCUUCACUAGCAAGCUCUUAAUCGCCACUGUGUUCCCUAGCAAAUCUCAGGGCCCGCUCAGUUCAUCAUACCCAGUCAGCAUUGGGAUGAAGGAGGACGGCACUGUCAUGAUGAGAACACUGUGAAGGAGGAUGGCACUGUCAUGAUGAGAACACUGUGUCCUUAGAAGAUGAAGCCUUCAACACUGAACCUUAAAACCAAGCCAUCCAGCUCCUGCCAGGUCCUUGUGGUUGCCUGUGGCUCCAUGGAACUGCCACAUCAAGUAAUGAACCUCAAGGUGAACCAAACCAGGAUACCACACACAUCACACCAGCCCUCCUUUGGGAAAUGCAGACCUGUCCCAGGAGUUUCAGGCAUCCUGUGUUCAUCCUGCAUCGCCUCGUUGAAGAAGUAAAACUACCUGCUGCUGAGAACUCUGAAAAGGAGCUGCAAACGUCGAGGUUCAGAGGAACCAGGAAUCCUGGCCUGCCAUCCGUACAGCCUGCUGACCUCCAGGUGGAUGUGUGAAGCAAGGAGCUGUGCCCUGGAAGCCCCAGAUGAGUGUGUGGGUCAUGUGCUGCAAGCUCCCAGGUAACCCUGCACAGCUCACAAGCACAGGCUGUGAGCCCUGUGGCACUGAGUGUCCAUUCUUGCCAGUACAGGUAACAAACUGGUCUCUUUCAGUGCUGAAAUACCGCUUCAGAUGCUUAACGUGUUCUGAACUGUUUGUUUUUCAAGGUUGCAGGGGUCCGUUUCCGUGCUGUCUGCCGAUGGUGCUGCCUGAAGGAAAACCAUGGAAACGGAGUUUGACAGGCUCACAGGGACCCACGGCUGCCAGAGCCGCUGCCUUUGAGCGCCUGAUGAAGACAUCACAGAGCAAACACAACAUUAAAACGCUGCUGGCUGCUUUGCAUCACUUAGAAUGCAAAUCUCUUUGUUCUGCUCGGCCCUUGCGUUUUGUAGCCGAGGAAUCUGUGCUAUCAUCUAACAUGGAUUUGCUGACCUUUCUUCCCUCGCUGUCCGUUCUCCUAAAAAAAAAAAAAAUAUUUAAAAAAUAUUGUAAAAGAUCAGCUUUUGUGGGAAGGAGGGUGGCGUGGGUCUGUGCAUUUGAAAUGGCCCCAGUUUUUUUCAGUUCCUGGGAUUUCUGUGCACAAAUUAAACACCCAUAUUGCAGAGCAGGCUGGGUUGGGUUGCUUUGUUGCUCCCUGUGUAUUAUUUGACUUGGAUUCAUUUACAUGGCAACUCACAGGGGUAGAUUUUAUGUCAUCUUUAUGCCACAGAUUAAAAGGUAAAAGUAAUCCUUUAUUUGCACAGCACAUCCCCUCCAACCCUUUAAGCCGUACAGAUGAAAAUAGAGGAGAAAAAUGCAAACUCUCCCACCACCAUAAUGCCUACUUUAUAACUUUUUAUGCUAAAUUUAAGUGUGUGGUUAUUAUUCCGCCCUCCAUUUGUAGGUGGCCUGUACUUUUAACUGCAGUUUCUGAUUGCAGUCACUGUCAGACCUUUGAAAUGCCCCACACCUUUGUGCUCAGAUGUGGGAUUUGGGUGGCUCCUGACAGGCUGAGCUAUGCAUGGGGCCAUCAGGAAGGCUUUUUUGCUGAUUGGAGGAACCAUUGUGAGCAUCUGCAGUAGGAAAUAGCUGCUGGGGAGAGGCAAACAAACUGGCUAUUCUCUCAGAAGUGAUAAUUUAUCAUUUCAUUCUCCCUAUGCUGCAUAACUCACACAUUACUUACGCUGAGAGAGGGCUAUCAUCACUAAACUGGAAAC